rnacentral:rRNA from 1 species
CUCCCGAAAGGGGGGCUUAUAAUGCAGUCGAGCGAACAGACGAGAAGCUUGGUCCUCUGAGGUGAGCGGGGGAGGGAGGGGGACGCGUGGGUAACCUACCUAUAAGACUGGGAUAACUCCGGGAAAACGGGGCUAAUACCGGAGAAUAUAUUGAACCGCAUGGUUCAAUGUUGAAAGACGGUUUCGGCUGUCACUUAUAGAUGGACCCGCGCCGCAUUAGCUAGUUGGUAAGGUAACGGCUUACCAAGGCAACGAUACGUAGCCGACCUGAGAGGGUGAUCGGCCACACUGGAACUGAGACACGGUCCAGACUCCUACGGGAGGCAGCAGUACGGAAUCUUCCGCAAUGGGCGAAAGCCUGACGGAGCAACGCCGCGUGAGUGAUGAAGGUCUUAGGAUCGUAAAACUCUGUUGUUAGGGAAGAACAAAUUUUUUUGUAACUGAACAAGUCUUGACGGUACCUAACCACAAAGCCACGGCUAACUACGUGCCAGCAGCCGCGGUAAUACGUAGGUGGCAAGCGUUAUCCGGAAUUAUUGGGCGUAAAGCGCGCGCAGGCGGUUUCUUAAGUCUGAUGUGAAAGCCCACGGCUCAACCGUGGAGGGUCAUUGGAAACUGGGGAACUUGAGUGCAGAAGAGGAGAGUGGAAUUCCAUGUGUAGCGGUGAAAUGCGCAGAGAUAUGGAGGAACACCAGUGGCGAACGCGGCUCUCUGGUCUGUAACUGACGCUGAUGUGCGAAAGCGUGGGGAUCAAACAGGAUCAGAUACCCUGGUAGUCCACGCCGUAAACGAUGAGUGCUAAGUGAUAGGGGUUUCCGCCCCUUAGCGCUGCAGCUAACGCAUUAAGCACUCCGCCUGGGGAGUACGACCGCAAGGUUGAAACUCAGAUGGAUUUGACGGAGACCCGCACAAGCGGUGGAGCAUGGUGGUUUAAUUCGAGCAAACGCGUAGCACCUUUCCGAAUCUUGACAUCCUUUGACCACCUCUGAAGAUAGAGUUU